GACGAACGCUGGCGGCGUGCUUAACACAUGCAAGUCGAACGGAAAGGCCCCUUUGGGGGUACUCGAGUGGCGAACGGGUGAGUAACACGUGAGUAACCUGCCCUUGACUUCGGGAUAACUUCAGGAAACUGGGGCUAAUACCGGCUAGGAAUCCUUGCUGCAUGGUGGGGGUUGGACAGCUUCGGCGGUUUUGGAUGGACUCGCGGCUUAUCAGCUUGUUGGUGGGGUAGUGGCUUACCAAGGCUUAGACGGGUAGCCGGACUGAGAGGGCGACCGGCCAUAGUGGGACUGAGAGGCGGCCCAGGCGCCGACGGGAGGCAGCAGUGGGGAAUAUUGCACAAGGGGUGGAAGCCGGAUGCAGCAGCGCCGCGUGCGGGAUGACGGCCUACGGUUUGUAAACCGCUAUCAGCAGGGGCGAAGCUUGUGGUGACGGUACCUGCAGAAGAAGCACCGGCUAACUACGUG
rnacentral:rRNA from 1 species